AGAGUUUGAUCCUGGCUCAGGACGAACGCUGGCGGCGUGCUUAACACAUGCAAGUCGAACGGAAAGGCCCUUCGGGGUACUCGAGUGGCGAACGGGUGAGUAACACGUGGGUGAUCUGCCCUGCACUUUGGGAUAAGCCUGGGAAACUGGGUCUAAUACCGAAUAUGACCAUGCGCUUCAUGGUGAGUGGUGCAAAGCUUUUGCGGUGUGGGAUGAGCCCGCGGCCUAUCAGCUUGUUGGUGGGGUAAUGGCCCACCAAGGCGACGACGGGUAGCCGGCCUGAGAGGGUGACCGGCCACACUGGGACUGAGAUACGGCCCAGACUCCUACGGGAGGCAGCAGUGGGGAAUAUUGCACAAUGGGCGCAAGCCUGAUGCAGCGACGCCGCGUGAGGGAUGACGGCCUUCGGGUUGUAAACCUCUUUCAGUAGGGACGAAGCGCAAGUGACGGUAUGUGCAGAAGAAGGACCGGCCAACUACGUGCCAGCAGCCGCGGUAAUACGUAGGGUCCGAGCGUUGUCCGGAAUUACUGGGCGUAAAGAGCUCGUAGGUGGUUUGUCGCGUUGUUCGUGAAAACUCACAGCUUAACUGUGGGCGUGCGGGCGAUACGGGCAGACUUGAGUACUGCAGGGGAGACUGGAAUUCCUGGUGUAGCGGUGGAAUGCGCAGAUAUCAGGAGGAACACCGGUGGCGAAGGCGGGUCUCUGGGCAGUAACUGACGCUGAGGAGCGAAAGCGUGGGUAGCGAACAGGAUUAGAUACCCUGGUAGUCC
rnacentral:rRNA from 1 species